rnacentral:lncRNA from 1 species
UGCAAAGCAGGCAGGAAGUAGGUUUCCAGCGAUGGCCCAGGGGUCCCCAGAACCUGGUGCAUCUCACUGUGGUCUGUUCCGUGCGUGCGCCCCAGACGCCUCUCUCAUCACCAUGUGGCUCUUCACAGAGCUCCCAGAUGCUGCCCAGCUGCUGGGCACUCUUUCUCGGGAGCCUCAGCCGCAUGCACCAGCUAGGGCCCCCAGCAGUGAUUCUGCCUCUCUCCUGUUCCUACACACCUGAAUGCUGCAUCCUUAGAUUUCUUCCCCAUCCUGCUCUUCCAAUGCAGCCAGGCACUCAGGAAAGGAGAAACCGAGACGUGUCGAUCGAUGCUGGAGAGCCACACUGUAACCAGAGAAAGGACAGGAGGCCACCAAGGUCAGGAGGGGGACCCCAGGUCUGGGGCUGCAGGCUUGAGAAAGGGCUGAGGAGGCAGAGCCGGGGGGCGAUGUAUCAGCGACCGAAGGGAACCAGCCGACAGCUCGCACUGGGGAGCAGAGAACGGAAGGACCAGCUGGCUCUCCCCAGACCCCAGCGUCUUCCGGGUCCUGGGAGUGUCCAUCACAAAGGGAUCUUGAAGAAGCCCCGAGAGAACUGUGCCAUUUUCAAGGCCCCACCAGAAGUUAGGUGUGGGGCCAGUCGUUCUCAGAGGAAAAAUGGCAAAGUCACCAUGACCCCACUGAAGGACACACAGACAGCUUGGUGUAGGACACCCUUCUUCAUUUCCAGGGGAGAAAGUAUCUGUGGCAGUUCCAACUAUCUAGGUCACCAAGGCCAAACCUCCGGAAUGGUUUGGGGUUGUUUGUUUCCUAAAGCAGCAGUCGCUGACCUGGACCAGGGACGCUCCAGAAGUCACCCAGGAGUGGAAAAAUAUCGACGGUAACCUGGGCAUCGUGGAGCAGAACAGAAGGGAGAUAUGUUCAAGCCGGGUGGCAAGGGUAAGAGCAGUCUUUGCAAGGGAAGCCUCAGUGAUGGCGUGCCCCUGACAGUCAGGUUGGACGCGGUCGCUAAGGUGGCCAGGACCCCGGAGUCAUUCACAUGCGGGCUGCAGCGUGGGCCGGCUUCAAGUGCACACACGUUACGAGCUCUAAAGUCACAGCAAAUUUGAUUCUGUUUCUGCUCCCACCUGGUUAUUUUUUAAAGCAGGAACGCUGAGACCAGAGUGAUUGCUUCAAAAUCUGGGUCACCUGGGGACGAUGUCACUCCUGCCCGCCUCCACGGCCGCCGUCAGGACCCUCGCCCUGGGCGGGUGCUCAGGAAGCAUCUGCGGUGCCGGAGGCGAAGGCAGAGUCGGGACCGGCGGCGAGAGGAGACAUGGGUGAACAGGCCCAUGGGAUGAGGCAGGGGCCAGUCAGGAGCAGCCAGGCUACCCUGAAACAAACAGCCCCACACGUCAGAGGACCAAGACAAGGUUAUUUCUCAUUCCUGCUGCCUCCUCAAGGGUGUGAGGUGUACACUAAAACAUACAAAAAUAAACACAAACAAUGACAGAAAAAUUUUACACUCUCAGGCUUUAUAAAGUCAGCAGCCG